UCUUUCAUUUGUGGUUUUUCUGCACACCUUUUUUUCACAAUGAGUCAAGGAUACCAGGGAGAAUACUGACACACUUGAAACAUUUGCCAGGCAAAUCAACUGAGAUGGCUUCGACUACAAAUCCUGGACUUGUAAACAAAGAGAGUUGAAGCUCACCUGAAUAUCCGACGAUCUAUGCAUUUGACGGGAGAGUUGUUGCCAGAAUCAGCGUUGGUACACAGACUGACUGGAGACAUGAGGAAGAGUGCAGUCAAGACCAUAAAUACCCAAUUGUAGAAACAUUAAAAGC